rnacentral:rRNA from 1 species
AGAGCUUGCUCUCUUGGCGGCGAGUGGCGGCGGGUGAGUAAUAUAUCGGAACGUGCCCAGUAGCGGGAUAACUACUCGAAAGAGUGGCUAAUACCGCAUACGCCCUACGGGGAAAGGGGGGGAUCGCAAGACCUCUCACUAUUGGAGCGGCCGAUAUCGGAUUAGCUAGUUGGUGGGGUAAAGGCUCACCAAGGCAACGAUCCGUAGCUGGUUUGAGAGGACGACCAGCCACACUGGACUGAGACACGGCCCAGACUCCUACGGGAGGCAGCAGUGGGGAAUUUUGGACAAUGGGGGAAACCCUGAUCCAGCCAUCCCGCGUGUAUGAUGAAGGCCUUCGGGUUGUAAAGUACUUUUGGCAGAGAAGAAAAGGUAUCCCCUAAUACGGGAUACUGCUGACGGUAUCUGCAGAAUAAGCACCGGCUAACUACGUGCCAGCAGCCGCGGUAAUACGUAGGGUGCAAGCGUUAAUCGGAAUUACUGGGCGUAAAGCGUGUGUAGGCGGUUCGGAAAGAAAGAUGUGAAAUCCCAGGGCUCAACCUUGGAACUGCAUUUUUAACUGCCGAGCUAGAGUAUGUCAGAGGGGGGUAGAUUCCACGUGUAGCAGUGAAAUGCGUAGAUAUGUGGAGGAAUACCGAUGGCGAAGGCACCCCCCUGGGAUAAUACUGACGCUCAGACACGAAAGCGUGGGGAGCAAACAGGAUUAGAUACCUGGUUCCACGCCCUAAACGAUGUCAACUAGCUGUUGCGGCCGUUAGGCCCUUAGUAGCGCAGCUAAACAUGAUGGUUGACCGCCUGGGGAGUACGGUCGCAAGAUAAAACUCAUAGAUGAAUUGAGACG